AUUCUCUGUAAUCUGAAAUUAUUUUCCGCAUCGAAAGUUUUUAUACAAUUUUUGUUAAUCUAAAAUAUUUAUGAAUAUGUGAUCUAUACAAUAACAUAAGCAUUAAUAUGCUUUACGUAAAAUUUAACUGAAAAUAUGCUGCCACAUUUUGUUGCACGCACACGUGCUCAGAAGCCGGUAUGUGAAAAAUAUAUUCAUUGAGACAAUGCUGUACGCACGUGGUUGCAAAUCAGUAAUGAAAAUCCCAUAGAUUUCUUGGACGACAAACUUAACUCUUGGCACAAGAAGCUUGAUUGAUUGUAUGGAUUUGAUUAAGAAGCAGUUGAACACUGAAUGGCAUUAUUGGCAACCGCUAAAAUUUCUGCAAAUAUGCAUACAGUAAAAUAUUCCUGUGGCACGUUAAGCUAAGGAUUUCCAAUGGCCGCUUGCAUCGGGGGGGAAACAUAGAGCUUAAUAUAGAGUACCUCCGGGAAUGGAACUCUCUAGAGGGGCCUCUUCUUACAUAGAGUCUGCGCCAAGAUUUGGAUGUCAACUCGAUGUAAAUUUUAGUGGACUUACUCAAAGCUUCAAGCUCUAACUGCGCUUUGUCAUCGAUAUGCAGCUAUUGGAGUCAUGUUGGACUUUUCAAAAAACUGUCUAUAUCUAUUUGCAACUUUCGAUAUCCUGCUCAACUUUGAAGAGAUUACAAUUAGCCGGCUGACAACUGAAUGCUUAUAAAC
rnacentral:sRNA from 1 species